GAGGGAGGUUUGUUACUGCUAAUAACUAUAAGUCGUGUGAUUCGACCCCCUCUUG
rnacentral:tRNA from 1 species